rnacentral:rRNA from 1 species
GCCGUAGGAGGCGAGCGUUGUCCGGAUUUACUGGGCGUAAAGAGCGCGCAGGCGGUCGUUCAAGUCGCGUGUGAAAGCCCCCGGCUCAACUGGGGAGGGUCACGCGAUACUGAUCGACUCGAAGGCAGGAGAGGGUAGUGGAAUUCCCGGUGUAGUGGUGAAAUUCGUAGAUAUCGGGAGGAACACCAGUGGCGAAGGCGGCUUCCUGGCCUGUUCUUGACGCUGAGGCGCGAAAGCUAGGGGAGCAAACGGG